GUUGAACGCUGGCGGCAGGCCUAACACAUGCAAGUCGAACGAUAACAGGAAGCAGCUUGCUGCUUUGCUGACGAGUGGCGGACGGGUGAGUAAUGUCUGGGAGACUGACUGAGGGAAGGGGCUAACAACUGGAAACGGUAGCUAGUACAGCAUAACGUCUCAAGACUAAAGAGGGGGACCUUCGGGCCUCUUGCCAACGGAUGUGCCCAGUUGGGAUUAGCUAGUGGGUAGGGUAACGGCUUACCUAGGCGACGAUGCCUAGCUGGAUUGAGAGGAUGACCGGCCACAUUGGAACUGAGACACGGUCCAGACUCCUACGGGAGGCAGCAGUAGGGAAUAUUGCACAAUGGGCGCAAGCCUGAUGGAGCCACGCCGCGUGUAUGAAGAAGGUCUUCGGGUUGUAAAACACUGUUGUCGGGGAGGAAGGUAGUAAAGAGAAUCUCUUCGCGCAUUGACGUUACCCGCAGAAGAAGCCCCGGCUAACUCCGUG
rnacentral:rRNA from 1 species